GGGCCGCGCACGCGCGGUGCGGCGGCGGGCAAGAUGGCGGCGAGCAGGGCGGGUGUUUUGGCUGGACGGCGGCGGGCGAGGGCAGAGGCGGGCUGGAGUCGAGCAUGUGGGGGCCGCGGUGAGGCGAGGGCCCCGGUUCCUCCCCAGCGCGGGCCGGGGCGUGCGCUCGCCCCUGCGGACGCAGCCUGGAGGAGCGGGGGGGCAGGCGGGCCCCGGAGCGGGAUUAGGGCACGGCGUCGGCGGGAGGACGGCUCCUGAUGCAAUAGGCGUGCCCGAGAGUGCUGGUAGGUCAUGAAGGAGUUUAAAACCUCUGGACCAAAUAGGGUUAAGGUCAACUUGAGUUAGAUACGAUUAGUGCAGCCCCAAGUUAUUUACUUGAGAAUUGUGGCUAGGCAAGCAAGAAGAUGGGUAGAAGACAGAUGCUCCUGGACACCCUGAGGCCUCCACUGCCCCCAGGCACAGACUGUGGGUACCAGCCGACGUGGGCACCAACUGAUUGGAACCCCCGCUGAGCCCUGCUCCCUCCUGUACAGCUGCCCUAAAGCCAUGAGUUUCCCCGGUGCAGCAUGUGUCGAUGGGUCCUCCAUUGCCUCUGACAUCUCCCCAGGCGCUCGUACGCUGCGCAGGGGUCUGGAUGUUUCCAGCAGCGGCACAGCAGCCUGAUGCCUCCUCUCCUCUGGGAUGCGGGGCCCUUGGUGAGUUCCCUGCUGCCUCCUCUGGCGUCCUCUGCGAGCUCAUAAAUCCCCCCUCCUCCUCCUCCUUCUCCUCCUCCUCCCCCUCCCCCACCACCCUGUCUGGUGGGGUGGGAGACCGGUGGCUCCUCCUGCCAAGCUGACAGCCACGUGGGGCACCCCUAUGCGCUCCCUACACAUCUGGGAUGGCACCCCUGCCCUGAGGGCCCCGCAGAGUCCCACCCUUCCUGCAACCACCCCCCCAAAGCCAUUAAACCACACAAUAUCAGGUAAAAAUAUCAGGUAAAAAAAAGGAUUAUUUUUUAAACUAAUCUGUGGAUAAACCAUGUAUGUAAUAGUCUGGAAACAAUUGAUAAGCAUGAGUAAAAUGUAAUUCAGGGUCUGAUCCUGUAAUCCAUGCUCACAGAUGUAUAAAUGAUAACAUUUUCAGUUUAAGGGCACAAGCAGUUCUAAAAAUACUUGACUAAUUUUGCUCAUUUCCCAGUAUUCUGUAGAGAGUGGCUAUUUUAAAAAGUUAACCAAGUCUGUGUAGUUUUUAUUAGGUGUAUUAAAAAGAUAAAAGAAGGAAAUAUAGCUCACAUUCAAGCACUCAAAUAUGUGAAAACAGCUGAAAUUGCUCUUACUGCACUAAGCUCAUUAAAUUGACUUGCUGGAAUGUUGCAUAUUAGAAUGAUCAGACCAGAGUGUUAACAGCUUUAAUGCUUUUAUCUGGUGCAGUUUGCCCACCUCCCCACCUGAGGGUUACCGAGCAGGCACAGUCGACUUCCUUUCUGAGGGCUGUGAUGCCGGGCUUCGUGCUGGUGUGUGAACUGCUGCUGUCUGUGCUUAGUGCAAAAAAGAGUUACUAAGACAGACCUUUGUGGUGAGAACCCUUGAUAAAGUUCUGUCGGGAACGCAUCCCGCUGUCCUCGAUAGAAAAGCCACCCUGGAUCUCAAGUUUGAUUCGGUAACUGAUUAAAUGGAUUCUGGUUUAGAUCACGAAUAUAUCACAUAGUCAAAAUUGUGCAAUAUUCUCCAUGAACAGUUAAAGUGAUUAUUUCACUUUAGACCUUGAAUAAGGAGAUUGAAUGAGCUGAUAAACAUUACUUGGUGUUAAGAUGGUAUGAAAAUUUAAUAUCUUUAUUCUUCAGUCUCGGUGCUGCAGGAGUCUCUCUCUCAUCCUGGUAGAUAAUAUUAAUUGCUGUUUCUCUACCUAUGGAGCAUAUGAGAUUUGCCAUGCAAGCUCAGAAUGAAUGCAGUUAUCCAACAACCUUACACAUUUAGAAAAUACUUUCUGUAGCCAAGACAUAUAGCAAUGUUAUAGCAUAUGUACAACCUAAAAAGAUGGUUUCCAGAGAUGUAUAUGUAUACAAGUUUCAGCCUUCUGGGUGUGUGACUAUUCAGAGACUCCCAGCGAACUGUGUCCAGGUUAGCCUGUAGCCAAACAGGCAGACCCAGCACACUGUGCCUGUGGUGUGUUCAAGCCUAAAGAGACUUCAGGUGCACUGUCAUCACCGGGUAUCAUGCUGACACGGUGUCCACAAGGGGUGGAUCUUUUCUGGGCAAUUCACAGCUGCUCUUAGACUACCAAAUAGUCAGAAUCCUAUACGGAAUUAUUAAUGCUUUUGCUACUGGAAAAAAAGAGAAAGACAGAGUACUUGAUCUGCAUAUUCAUAGCCUGAAAGAACAAAAAAGAUAUGGGAUACAGAAAAAAGAAAGAGGAUAAUAAUUUAUUUAAACAUAAAAACAACAUUAAACUACUGCUUCAUUGUUCUACUACCUUUGGCUCACAGAGCUUAAGUUCCUGGGGAAGCAUGGUAAGGGGAUGAAAUAGGAUUUUUUUUCAGUUUUUUUUUAGUAGCAGACUAGUGAAGGUGAUAUGAUCAAGGUCCCUAAUCUUUUUUUUUUUCCUCUACCCAAGAAAACUCAGAAGGAUACAUCACUGCUUUGACAGAGAGGGGGAUAAAACAAAAUCAAAAAAAAAAAAGAGCUCCUUUUUCAGGAGCAAUUCCCACUUACUGUGAUUUAAGCACCCACUCUGAAGUUCUGUGACUAAGUACAUGGUCCAUAUGCUCUGACUACAAAAAACACUGUCCACAGAGAGCAAGGUCACUGUGAUUACCUAUGUAAAGUUUCCUUCAGGAUGCCCGUUAUCUGGAGAAACCCGUUGUUGCACAUGAUCUAUCUUAUAUUUUCUCAACAUAUAAUACAGCGAUUUCUCAACAUAUAAUACUUGAAGACCAAUAUAAAUAUUGUGUAGAAUGAUACUUUCUAAGUCAUUAAUUUUAAAUCAUAAAUCAAAAAUAUUUUAAAAAGAGAGAUUUGUUCUGCAUUGUCAGAGAAUAACUACUUCUAAAAUAAACUAAAAAGGCUCUAUAAAUGAAUAAAUUUUGCAAUUUUUUGCCUUCAAUAGUGUUCAAAGGUUAAAAAUGAAUUAAAAUUGUAAAAUAAGUGCACUAGCUACUUAUUUCAUUUAUUUUAUCUUUCCCUUUCCUCCUUUGAAUACUCUUUUCCUUAAAUUGUAUUUUCCAGAUAUUGCUAUAUUCCAGUUGUACUUUCUCUUUUUCUAAUAUUCUCUUCGUAAGUAUCCCCUUAAAGCACUUUAAAAAGUAUCUGACGAAUAUCGCUGUUUCUCUGUAUUAUGUGAAUGAUGUUAAUUAUCUUUACUUUUUAAUGGUUUAAAAAUUCAACUUCCCUAACUAAGAGUAUGUUUUUAAAAAAGUAGCGAUUGCACAGGGGAUGCUCCCAUUUUCUAUUUUUGCUUUUCUAGAUUAACGUUCAAAUAUUUCCUGAUAGAAAUGUAUGUUUUUGCAGGUGGAACAUUCCUCUGAUAGGUACAUUUGGUAUUGAAAUGAGUUAGUCCCGUAUAAAUCCUGGCAUAGGACUUUCUUCACUAGUUUUAGGUGGAUCUCUUCUUUCUCAAAGGUAUGGCACUAGGUGAGAAAAAGGUGCCGUCAACCUGUAGUUAUAUUUAUACCCGUCGAGGGGUGGGGAUCUUUAUGUAGAAAGGGGACACACAAAAGUGUAGCGAAGGGGCAUAUUUUUCUAAAUGUGCCCAGGAAACCUAUGAGAUAGGUGACACAGAGAAUUCAGAGGCCUUAAAACAGUGUCACCAUUUGAAAAGCAAAUUAUAAGCUGCAGGAGUGUGUGCACUCCUGCAAUGCUUAACAUAACCACAGUCUUCACUUUGAACUAUGCCUGACUAUUGGCUUACAUCCCGUUUUCAUGUAGCAAUAUCCAAGGUAACACAAAUCUGGCUCCAACUGUAAUGUACGUAGGAGACAGCGAGUAUUAAGACACCAAAGAAUUCAAAAUGUUUGAAUCUGGAAGGACGAAAGAACAGCGUACUCAGUGAUCAGCCUUUCAGGUGAAGGAGACAACAGCUGUGGUUUUGGUCCCUGUUCCCUUGAUUAUUUCUGCAUGCAUGGGUUAGUGACUAUCUCAUCUAAUUAAAAAUAAAUACUGUGAUCGAGGACCAAAACUCACAGGUCCCUCUUUUCCUUGACAAAGCCGUAACUAAAUGCUGUUGAAUAUGUGUGAUACGUUAUGUGCAGAGCCCUUUAAGAUUCCAUCUGAUUUCUUUGAUCUUGUUUUAGGGUGCUUUCAGUCUAUUUCCAGUGAGCUAUAGUUUGCUCAAAUAUGUAUAUGUAUAUAUGUAUAUGUUAACAUAUAUAUGUUUUAAAUUCCUCUUCCCUUUGCAUUACUCUACUGAUUUUUUUUCUUAUAACUGUCUCCUAUGUCAAGAAGAUUUAACAAAAUGAAAAGUGUGUCUUCAUAGCAUAAAGACACAUUUUUGUUAGUUACCAUAAUACAGACAUGAAAGGAAAGAUAAAAGAGAAGUAGUUCUUCAGAUAAAGUCCGUUAAGUAUUCAUAAUGUGACGACAUAGGUGAUUGUGAUAUUAUCUAGACAGAAGAGCUCUGCCGAAGGUAGCUUUCAGACAAUUAUAUUGGUAAAAAGAAAAACUGGUAAAAGCUGAUGAAGUCAUUAAAUUUUCAAAAGUUACAAAUUAUCCUGUAAAGCUUCAGUGACUGCAAAUUAGCCUUUGCUAUAGCCCUCUGCUAACAAGCUAUAGAUCAUUUUAUUAUUCAUGAAUUUUAGUAAUUUCAGGACACCACAGGUCAUCUUAUGCUCAUUUAUUUGCUAAACACCUUGUGCUGGUAUGCCUAUGCUGAAAAAUUGCUACUAUUUACUUCCCGUGAGACAAGCAAGCAACAAAGUGGUGGAUUUGGCCCCAGACAUCCACUCUGCCAGGCAACAUAUACAUCUUGCUGUCAGUGAAAUAAAUGAGCCCUUAAAUUGACUGCAAAGCUUUAAGAACUGAAACUUACAUGUCUAGUUAUCAAACAGAAAGUUCAGAACACCUGCCAAUAUGAAACAUAAUUAUGACAAGCUGUUACAUUUUACCUUUAACUUUUCAGCUUUAACACCACAACUUCAUUAUAAGAAUGUCCUCCUCCCUGCCCCUCCUUUCUCCCUUCCCCCAGACCCAGCUCCCCUCCCAAAAAACGCUCACUGCAUUCCAUUGUAAAUGCUGAGUUAACGCUAAUACACUGGGUUAUCUAUCAGCAGACAAAAAAAAAGUCAGACAUAUUAAAAAUGCUAGGAUUCCUCCUAAGAAUAACCACAAAUUUUCACAGAUUACCAAAAAUGGCUAACAGGGUAUAGAUAUCUGACCUUUAUAACCGCCUUUGAAGGCUUUUCAGAGAAAGUCAAAAAUCAUGAAACAAACUUACAGAUUCCUUGUUUUGUUUUUUACUUAAAAAAAUCAAUUCAAUUACUUCUAUCUUAUUUCACUGACCGACUUCAUUAUCUUUCCUUUUGGGUCGCAGAGCCCUACGGCACAGGUUUUUGCCACAACAAAUCCAACAAUUGAUAAGCUGUUUACUGUUUAUCCAAAUGUUCAUGGGAGGGCAAAAAAAGAAAAAAGCCACCAAAAAUAAAUGUUACUCUUCUUUAAACCCACUUUAAACUAUGCCCUAUGUGCACUAUAACUAAAUAUCUUCUCUUGUGUGCAUGUUUACCUCUGUUACAAACCACAAACAGCUAUGUGAGAAGAACACUAUUUAAAGGAAAGACUUUCUUCUUAGCUGUCAAGGAAGAUAAUAUCUAGGCUAAAAUUCCUUUCAGCAUUUUUUAUAGAUAUAUAUAUAUGUAUAUAUAUACACACAUACACACAUAUAUAAAAUAUGUAUAUAUCAAUAUGAAGAGCUUAAAAAUUACAACCCUUGACCAAUUGCACCCUUCUGGUCAAUAAAGUAAAUAUGAGCAAUAUGAGAAACAAAUCAAAUGUAUGAACUUUACCUCUUUUAUUACUUUGACCAUAUUAUUUCUUUUUUUAUAGCACCUGCAUACUGUAUUUUCAUUCAAGAAAUUUGAUUGUGGAUAAAGUAGUUCCUACAUGUCAUAGCAAAAAAAUGACGUGCUAACCAAAGUUUAAGUCAAUGUAUUAGUCAAAACACACCUUCUUUUAUUCUUUUUCUGACCUUUUGCUACAGACAUAGAAAUCUCACAUAUAUAUUGGGGUUAACAGGACUUCAGCAGGGCAAUCUGUGUUUUAAGCAGGGUUUCUUGCUGGUUCAGGUACAUUGUUUGUUCAGUGUUGGGAUCCUAUGUAUUCAUACUGCGUUUUCUGUGUUUUGUGUACUGAUAAUGAAUUAAAACAGCAGAAAAUCAUAUACGUAUAUUUUAAAUGUGACAUGUCUGAUUUCAUUUUAAUGUGAUUUGAAAUAUUUCACCCUGAAUUUAUAAAAAAAAUCAUUAGCACAGCUA